AAUAUGAUGUGUAAAUUGGAGAACUCGUAUUCCAAAGAAGUUGCCAAAACAUCUGCCAUUAAGUACCAAGAAUAUCAAUACGAAUUAUAAUACAUCUUCUUAUAUGAUCAAAAACGUUUUUACCAAAUUAAGUACCAGAAAUAUAACACAUCAUAUUGUUAUUGUUAUCAUUAUUACUAUGUUAGGACCUAUAUGUGUAUUGCAUAUGUCAUUACAAUUGUAUAACUUUUUGUGACUAGUGAAAAUCACAUUUCGUUUACUGUACGGUAUGUACAGAUUUUACAGAUAGGUUAGGAUUGGGUAUAGUAAGUGUAUUUAGGUAAUUUUACAUUAUUAUUAUUAAUAUUUUACUAGCAAUGUUAUAUUAUUAUUAAUACUAUUAUCUUAAACAAUAUACACAUGUAAAUUAUAAACUUUUCCCGAUUUAUUUAAUUUUAAGUACAAUAUUAUAAAAGUUUAUAUUAAUGAUAUUUCACAACACUGUUUACCGUAUUUAUUUUAUUGUAUAUCAUUAAAAUUAUGACAUAAAUGAAAAACAAAAUAAAAACACCAUGUCAAAUUUACAAUUUUCACAAUCCCCGAAUACUAAACACGCCCAUAUAAUAAUAUAAUAUCCAAUCACGUUUGGUCAAUAAACUAAUAUUGAUACACAUUGUCCCUACACCAUUUAAUUUUAAUAUUAAUACUACAAUAGAAUAGUAUUGAAACUUCAAUAUUGUUUUUAUUUUGUAUUUGUUAUAAAUGUUAACAUAGAGUAUAAAAACAAAAAUUCACAGUAAAUAAAAUGUGAUAAUAAACAAUAAAAAAAUAGAUACAAAUAUUUAAAAAAAAAAAACCAUAAUUAUUCACCCCAAAAAUGUAAUUUUGUUAAGUACUUCAAUUUUUUAUAUAGAAAUAUUACAAUUCAGCUUCAUAAGAGUUUUGUACCACCCAUAAUUUAAUUUAAAAAACUGUUUUGCAUAGAAACAUUCUCUUGUACUAUAUUUAUAGUACAAUCAAUGACCUUAUUUUGUCAUGAUCUAUCAUAACUCUAGUUACUAAUUUUUCAAACAAAUAUAAAAUUUUAUCUGCAUUAUAGCGGUCUUUUUAUUUCCAUAACAUAAAUACAAUUUAAGUUAUCAGAUAACAAACAAGCAGUUUAUUUGGUUUCUUCAUUUACUUAAUAAAAAUGAUAGACUAGGACUCAGCUGAAGUACAACACAGAUAAAGUUCUUCCCUAUGUUCUAAAAUUUUACUACAUCUACUAUAAGUAGGUAGUAAGGAAAAAGCAAAGUUGUAUCACACAAAACUAUUUUCUAAAAACAUUUUAGCUUAUCUAUUAAUAACACAAAACAUAAUUAUGAUAUUUUUAAAUUUGUUUCAAAAUUAAUUUUAAAAUGUAUGAAUAUAAAUUGUAAUACUUUAAACAAAUUUGUAAUGAUUGCCUAAAUGAAACCCCCUUGAAUACGAGCAAUACCCUUACAAUUUAAUUUCAUGUAUAAUGUAGCAAAAUUUUUAAUUUUUGUUCUUCUUUUAAUGUAUUAAGAGUAAAGAUUGUUUAUGAUAGAAUAUAUAUUUAAGUAAUACAAAAAAAAAAAAAAAAACAAUACAUUAUAAUGAAUAAAAUUUAAAAAGAAAGUAAACAUCUUAAAACUAGUUUGACAACAAAAUAGAAUACAAAAAUGUAUAAUUAUAUUGCACAUAAGAAAUUGGCUGCCAAAAAUGAGAAUAAUUGUAAAAAUUCAAUAAUAGUAGACUAAUUUAAUAAUAAAUAAAUAAUAAUUAAUAAUUCAAUGCACAAAAAAUUAUGGCACCAUUAUUUAUUUUUAUUGAGCUUGCGAGGAACGAAAGAGAAACUAAUGUAGUGUGCCACGGAUGAAUCAAUUCUUUGUUCAAAUAAAUCAUAUAAAACGUAUGUUUUUAAUAGUAACACUCUUAAUACAUGGGACAUUUUUUUUAUCAGUAACAGUUAACAAAAAUUGUAUAAUAAACCAGUAAGUUUUAUCAGAAAAAUUGUCAAUGAAUAAA